AUGGGUACCCCCUCGCAGGGCUCGGCUGCCGUGGCGGCGGCCCGGGUCGACCUCUGCGCGCUCGACCUCAUGCCCGUCUUCGCCAAGGAGAUGAUUGCCGGUGGGGUCGCCGGUGCUUUCUCCAAGACUGCCAUCGCGCCGCUCGAGCGCCUCAAGAUAUUGCUACAGACUAGAACAAAUGAGUUCAGGUCUCUCGGAGUUCUGAAAUCCUUGAAUAAACUGAGAAAACAUGAUGGCGUCUUGGGAUUUUACAAGGGAAAUGGUGCCAGUGUGUUAAGAAUUGUUCCUUAUGCUGCAUUACAUUAUAUGGCGUAUGAGCGAUACAGGUGUUGGAUCUUGGGUAACUGCCCUACACUUGGCACAGGACCUGUGGUAGAUCUUUUAGCAGGCUCAGCAUCAGGGGGGACUGCAGUCUUGUGCACUUAUCCCUUGGACUUGGCUAGGACCAAGCUUGCAUUCCAGGUUAAUAACACAGAUCAACCUAGCAAUGGUUUGAAAAGGCCAAUUGCUCCACCAUCAUAUGGAGGAAUAAAAGAUGUCUUCAGAGGUGUUUAUUCAGAAGGUGGAGUGCGAGCCCUGUAUCGUGGAGUAGGUCCAACGCUAAUGGGAAUACUUCCCUAUGCUGGUCUUAAAUUCUACAUAUACGAAGGGCUGAAGGCACACGUACCUGAAGAUUACAAAAAUUCUGUCACAUUAAAACUAUCCUGUGGUGCUGCAGCUGGUUUAUUUGGACAGACUUUAACCUACCCAUUAGAUGUAGUCAGGAGACAAAUGCAGGUUCAAAGUCAUCUGCAGCAUGAUCAGUCUGGUGGCCCACGAAUAACAGGUACAUUCCAGGGGCUUAAGAUCAUCAAACAAACACAGGGAUGGAGACAAUUAUUUGCUGGUCUGAGCCUCAAUUAUAUCAAGGUGGUACCCUCAGUGGCUAUUGGUUUCACCGCAUACGACACAAUGAAGCAUUUGCUGAAGAUACCUCCGAGAGAGAGCAUAAAGCCUGAGCAAGGUUCUGCUUGA
rnacentral:rRNA from 1 species